rnacentral:rRNA from 2 species
AAAUUGAAGAGUUUGAUCAUGGCUCAGAUUGAACGCUGGCGGCAGGCCUAACACAUGCAAGUCGAACGGUAGCACAGAGAGCUUGCUCUCGGGUGACGAGUGGCGGACGGGUGAGUAAUGUCUGGGAAACUGCCCGAUGGAGGGGGAUAACUACUGGAAACGGUAGCUAAUACCGCAUAACGUCGCAAGACCAAAGUGGGGGACCUUCGGGCCUCACACCAUCGGAUGUGCCCAGAUGGGAUUAGCUAGUAGGUGGGGUAACGGCUCACCUAGGCGACGAUCCCUAGCUGGUCUGAGAGGAUGACCAGCCACACUGGAACUGAGACACGGUCCAGACUCCUACGGGAGGCAGCAGUGGGGAAUAUUGCACAAUGGGCGCAAGCCUGAUGCAGCCAUGCCGCGUGUAUGAAGAAGGCCUUCGGGUUGUAAAGUACUUUCAGCGAGGAGGAAGGCGUUGUGGUUAAUAACCACAGCGAUUGACGUUACUCGCAGAAGAAGCACCGGCUAACUCCGUGCCAGCAGCCGCGGUAAUACGGAGGGUGCAAGCGUUAAUCGGAAUUACUGGGCGUAAAGCGCACGCAGGCGGUUUGUUAAGUCAGAUGUGAAAUCCCCGGGCUCAACCUGGGAACUGCAUUUGAAACUGGCAAGCUUGAGUCUCGUAGAGGGGGGUAGAAUUCCAGGUGUAGCGGUGAAAUGCGUAGAGAUCUGGAGGAAUACCGGUGGCGAAGGCGGCCCCCUGGACAAAGACUGACGCUCAGGUGCGAAAGCGUGGGGAGCAAACAGGAUUAGAUACCCUGGUAGUCCACGCCGUAAACGAUGUCUACUUGGAGGUUGUGCCCUUGAGGCGUGGCUUCCGGAGCUAACGCGUUAAGUAGACCGCCUGGGGAGUACGGCCGCAAGGUUAAAACUCAAAUGAAUUGACGGGGGCCCGCACAAGCGGUGGAGCAUGUGGUUUAAUUCGAUGCAACGCGAAGAACCUUACCUGGUCUUGACAUCCACGGAAGUUUUCAGAGAUGAGAAUGUGCCUUCGGGAACCGUGAGACAGGUGCUGCAUGGCUGUCGUCAG